rnacentral:pre_miRNA from 1 species
AGUUUAAUUGCUGGGUCGUAUGGUAAGGGUGUGUUUAAAUUUUUCAGAAACCGUCAAAUUGUUUUCCAAAGUGGCUGUACCAUUUUACAUUUCCACUAGCAGU